rnacentral:lncRNA from 1 species
GCUCCUAAUACCCAGAGAUAUGUGGCAGUGUCUGGACAAGGUUCUGGAUCAAUGACGUAGAGUUGCGUCCCAUUUCCCUUGUUCAUGAAGUAUGGUGGAGGGUACAUCCGCUCCAUCUUGCAGACAUAAAGACCAGUAUCAUUAGCUUGCAGGCCUGUGAGGGUAAGGGUCACGUUGUUUCGGCUCGGGCUAACAUGGCACUGAAUAA